rnacentral:misc_RNA from 1 species
GUGAGUCAUCGAAUCUUUGAACGCACCUUGCACCCUUUGGUAUUCCGAAGGGUACACCCGUUUGAGUGUCAUUGUAAUCUCACCUUUUCAACUUUUGAUGGUUGGUCAGUGUGGAUAUGGAUGCUGCUGUUUGACAACAGCUCAUCUGAAAUGCCUGAGUGUACCCUGUUUGGUGGUGUAUUCAGUGUAAUAAAACUUCACUGGAGAUGAUCUUAGGAUUGCAUCACUUUGACAUGGCUCUAUGCUUCCAACUGUCUCUUUGGGACAAAUGCUUUGACAGUUUGACCUCAAAUCGGGUGGGACUACCCGCUGAACUUAAGCAUAUCAAUAAGCGGAGGA